rnacentral:misc_RNA from 1 species
AACCUAGCACACCUGCGGUGUGUACCUGCGGAGGGAUCAUUACCGAGUUUACAAACUCCCAACCCUUUGUGAACCUUACCAUAUUGUUGCUUCGGCGGGACCGCCCCGGCGCCUUCGGGCCCGGAACCAGGCGCCCGCCGGAGGCCCCAAACUCUUAUGUCUUUAGUGGUUUUCUCCUCUGAGUGACACAUAAACAAAUAAAUAGAAACUUUUAACAAUGGAUCUCAGAUCGGAAGAGCA